CCUACGGGUGGCAGCCGUGAGGAAUAUUGGUCAAUGGGCGCGAGCCUGAACCAGCCAAGUAGCGUGAAGGAUGACUGCCCUUCGGGUUGUAAACUUCUUUUAUAAAGGAAUAAAGUGAGGCACGUGUGCCUUUUUAUAUGUAUUUUAUGAAUAAGGAUCGGCUAACUCCGUUCCAGCAGCCGCGGUGAUCCGUAGGAUCCGAGCGUUAUCCGGAUUUAUUGGGUUUAAAGGGAGCGUAGAUGGGUUGUUAAGUUAGUUGUGAAAGUUUGCGGUUUAACCGUAAAAUUGCAAUUGAUACUGGCAGCCUUGAGUACAGUUGGGGUAGGUGGAAUUCGUGGUGUAGCGGUGAAAUGCUUAGAUAUCACGAAGAACUCCGAUUGCGAAGGCAGCCUACUAAGCUGCCACUGACAUUGAUGCUCGAAAGUGUGGGUAGCAAACAGGAUUAGAUACCCUGGUAGUC
rnacentral:rRNA from 1 species